rnacentral:ncRNA from 1 species
GAGUAGAAAUGGCGCGUCAAGUACCGGCUGGAUGGGAGGUUGCCACCGGGCGAAGGGGUUUUCCCCGCGGUGCCAUUUUCGCAUCCGCUG